CAGCCCCCACGCCGGCAUUCACAACUCGACCUGGAACGCGAAUGGCGAGACCGCGGGCGGAGCGUCCGAGGUCGUUCGCGGCGCAAAGUUCUUCAUCGCCUCGCAGGUCGAGACCGGGCACUUAUGCCCGAUCACCAUGACGCGCGCCGCGGUCGGCGCGCUGGCGGUCGAUCCCGCGCCACGUGCCGGUGCUCGGCACCCGCAGCUACGAUCCCUCAUUCGUUCCGUGGUGGACCAAGCGCGGCAUGACCAUGGGCA
rnacentral:misc_RNA from 1 species